UACAGGGGGGGCAAGCGUUGUUCGGAAUUACUGGGCGUAAAGGGCCAGUAGGCGGCCAACUAAGUCCGACGUGAAAUCCCCGGGCUUAACCUGGGAACUGCGUUUCUAACUGGCAGGCUUGAGUGUGGCAGAGGGGGGUGGAAUUCCACGUGUAGCAGUGAAAUGCGUAGAGAUGUGGAGGAACACCGAUGGCGAAGGCAGCCCCCUGGGCUAACACUGACGCUCAUGCACGAAAGCGUGGGGAGCAAACAGG
rnacentral:rRNA from 1 species